rnacentral:misc_RNA from 1 species
GAAAUGCGAUAAUUAAUGUGAAUUGCAGAAUUCCGUGAAUCAUCGAGUCUUUGAACGCACAUUGCGCCCCCUGGUAUUCCGGGGGGCAUGCCUGUCCGAGCGUCAUUGCAGUCCCUCAAGCACGGCUUGUGUGAUGGACCGUCGCCCCCCGUCUCAGACGGACGAGGCGGGUUCGAAAAGCAGUGGCGGCGCGCCCCCGGUGCUCGAGUGUAUGGGAAUCUCACGCGCUCGACGGCCCGGGGUCGAUGGCCGACCGGUUGAAUCUAUUCUUCUCUGGUUGACCUCGGAUCAGGUAGGAGUACCCGCUGAACUUAA